GAUCCUGGUGAUGAUCAGUGACAUGAUCAGCCAAUCCCCAUGUGGGAAUGAGGACAUGUCCUGCAAUUCUGAAGGGAUU
rnacentral:snoRNA from 1 species